UCAAACACAGCAUCAGGGUCAAGUCUGGAUUCAGUAUCUUGCCCAAGGAUAAACUGACAAGUGGAUUGAAAGAGCCAGGGAUCGAGCCACCAAACAUCUGAUUGGCAGACAACCAGCUUCACCUCUGACCCCUGUGUAAACUGUUUCGAACUAGCCAAAAUGUUCUUGAGACUUGACAGAUGACAAAAGUAAAACUGAGUAUAGUGUGGGUAUAAGACAUCCUCCUAGAAAAGCUUCAACUAGUCUUUGCAUUGAAUGUUUAGUCUUUAGAAUACUAUUCUUCCAAAAGAUAUUCCCUCAUUUGGGACUCAUGAUAGAGGGAACUAAAGUCAAUUAAAAAUCUCCCCGAGGUGUCCAAUUAGUUUGAAAUGUGAGGAUACAAUUCUCAUUGUUAUCAUUUCCAUAAGCAUGUUAUUGACCCCUUGAGCCAUGUAGAUGGAUAAUGUCAUCAUAGAAGAGUCUACUACCAUCGUGAUCAAUCUUUUUAAUUGUCCCCCGUGGCAUACUAGAAUCCAUAACUGGAAGGGUCAAACAUUUCCUUUACUUUUCCUCCCAUCCACAUGUUUGCAACUGCAGUCUAAAGGACCUUUAACUCUUUUACCUUAUAAAGGGAUAGCUGCAGAUCAGUGUAGCAGAUCAUCAACUAAUCUGAAGGUCUUCCACCUCUUUCAGCAAUUUACCUGCCGGGUGCUGCCCCCAGUGCAACUCCUCCCCUAUCCAACUUUGUUUCACCCCCAGUCUUUGCCAGUACUUCGCCUGCUUCCACUAUGCUAAUGAACAGUUUUCAUGCCAAAACCCCCAACUCCCCAUCAGUGACCACCUCUGGAUCAAUAAAUAUUACAAUGUCUGCAGACUCAUCUUAACAGAAAGCAAAAAUUGAAGAUGUUGGCAUGCUCUCUGUAGAGUCUUUACACAGUGUAAUCUGACCAUUCACCCCAGCACUCGGCUGACAAAUUCCACGUGCAAACAGACCAUCAGGAUUGUUGUGCGAGCUCGGCUGCAAGAAUGGAACUGGUAUUAAAUGCAGGGCAUCCAGUUUGUCCUGGAAAUGGUGUGUCAGAAGAAAAGCCCUGCGUCUGAAGGCAGUUAAAGGAACUUUGAGAGCAUUUUGGAGUUUAAGUUGUUCUGUAAUAGAGGACAUUUAAAUUCUUUUUAAAAUAUGGAACAUGGGUUAUUCAAAUUGUGCAAAUCAGCAUCUUCGCAUCUUCAAGGAUUACACUACUUAACGGGAGGGCUCAACUAUAACUUAUACUACUGGGGAUCUUCCAUUAGAAAACAAGGCUUGCUGGCUGCAGGAUUGCAGACAUUGUUUUCUUGUAUUGUAUGAAAUUAUUUGUAAAGUGAAAUAUUGUUACCUUGAUUAAACUGAUGUAUUUUCUCAAUGUUA
ensembl:lncRNA